AAUAAGGCAAUAUAAUGUGAAAGAUGAGUAUCCAGUGUUUUAUUUAUGAGAAUAGAUCGACCGGCCUCUAAUAGUUCAGAAGUGGGAUCUGAAACCUAUGAUAGUAACGUGAUUUCAAAGUGUUCCAGGUGACCAAUGUUUCGUGUUAUUUGUCACGAAUGUUAUCACAAAACGCCCACGAUUCUAUGGUUAUAAUUGAAUAUGAUGAAGAGAGAAUGUCAAGGAAACCACGUUGACAAAGGUGUGAGAUGCAGAAAAGUAUUUAAGUACGAGAAAUGAUGGACUCGAAUGAUGAAGAUGCUCCUUCCGUAACUUGGCUUGUGGUCACGUAAGUGGUGAACAAUUUGACUAACGAUGGCCCCAGAGCAGAUUUGACUUGAGUUUUAGAUAUGGUGACUUAUCUGUCUGCGGGUUGGCCCUGUGGUGAGCAAAUCAGUCAAGCACAAUACCUGAGUGAAGCUGAACACUGAACAAGGGUACUUCACAUAAGUGAUUUGGAGUUGGACA